rnacentral:rRNA from 1 species
UAGGCAGCAGUGGGGAAUUUUCCGCAAUGGGCGAAAGCCUGACGGAGCAAGACCGCGUGAGGGAGGAAGGCCCUUGGGUUGUAAACCUCUUUUCUCAGGGAAUAAGACAGUGAAGGUACCUGAGGAAUAAGCCUCGGCUAACUCCGUGCCAGCAGCCGCGGUAAUACGGAGGAGGCAAGCGUUAUCCGGAAUCAUUGGGCGUAAAGCGUCCGCAGGUGGCCCAUCAAGUCUGCGGUCAAAGGCCACAGCUUAACUGUGGAAAGGCCGUGGAAACUGAAGAGCUAGAGAGAGGUAGGGGCAGAGGGAAUUCCCGGUGUAGCGGUGAAAUGCGUAGAGAUCGGGAAGAACACCAGUGGCGAAAGCGCUCUGCUGGACCUCAACUGACACUGAGGGACGAAAGCUAGGGGAGCGAAAGGGAUUAGAUACCCCUGUAGUCCUAGCCGUAAACGAUGGAAACUAGGUGUGGCUCGUAUCGACCCGAGCCGUGCCGGAGCUAACGCGUUAAGUUUCCCGCCUGGGGAGUACGCACGCAAGUGUGAAACUCAAAGGAAUUGACGGGGGCCCGCACAAGCGGUGGAGUAUGUGGUUUAAUUCGAUGCAACGCGAAGAACCUUACCAGGGCUUGACAUGUCUGGAAUCCCCUUGAAAGGGGGGAGUGCCUUAGGGAACCAGAACACAGGUGGUGCAUGGCUGUCGUCAGCUCGUGUCGUGAGAUGUUGGGUUAAGUCCCGCAACGAGCGCAACCCUCGUUUUUAGUUGCCAGCAUUAAGUUGGGCACUCUAAAGAGACUGCCGGUGACAAACCGGAGGAAGGUGGGGAUGACGUCAAGUCAGCAUGCCCCUUACGCCCUGGGCGACACACGUACUACAAUGCUACGGACAAAGGGCAGCCAAGUCGCAAGGCUGAGCCAAUCCCAGAAACCGUGGCACAGUUCAGAUCGAAGCUUGCAACUCAGCUUCGUGAAGGCGGAAUCGCUAGUAAUCGCCGGUCAGCAUACGGCGGUGAAUACGUUCCCGGGCCUUGUACACACCGCCAA